rnacentral:lncRNA from 10 species
UUUUUAGGUGGAGUCUUGCUCUGUCGCCCAGGCUGGAGUGCAGUGGAGCGUGAUCUUGGCUCACUGCAAGCUCCGCCUCCUGGUUCACGCCAUUCUCCUGCCUCAGCCUGCGGAGUAGCUGGAACUACAGGUGCCUGCCACCACACCCGGAUAAUUUUUUGUAGUUUUAGUAGAGAUGAGGUUUCACCGUGUUAGCCAGGAUGGUCUCGAUCUCCUGACUUCGUGAUCCACCGCGCCUGGCCGACAUCACAUUUUACUUCUGUCCAUCAGCUCCUCAGUUUAGGAAAAUCUUAUCUUCCUAACAAAUAGAAAACUCUUGUAGCUCAAAUAAGAGGAAAAGAUGAGGCCUAAUGUUUAAAGUCCUGAUGGAUUCAAAGCCCUGAUGGAGUCUCUCCACUCCUCAUACCUGAAGUCUGAAUAUUUGUCAUCUCAGAUUAUCUACAACUAAGGAGGGAACCUGACUUUUUCUUUGUCCCAGAGUGGGCAGGUUAUUCUCCCUCCCAAUACAAACCACCUUAAGGAAAAGAUACAACUUAUUGGCAUAAAUGGCUGGGAUUGUUCUGAGGUUGUUCAUAGGUUCAAAGAAAUUGCUGCAGGGACUAGAACAAGGCCUCACACCACCAAGAUUUUCCUCACUUCUUCAGGCAGCCUUCUGCCUACCUGUCCCGCAUGGCGUCAUUCCUCAGAAGGCUUCUCCAGGCUCCUGGAAGAAAAAUGGAACUAAAAAGGGAAAACAAUAGCAACAAAGAUCAAAAUAAAUAACAAGGAAGCGGAGAGAAGAAAGAACAUGGUGAAGAGAGUGAAACGCAUUGUCAUUUGGGGUGAAUUGCAGAAAGAAAUAAAUUAUUGUUCUUAUAUAUAAGUGAGAUCAUGCAG